CUGUUUCUCGUGAGGGCUGCCCGUGGGAACCUGGCUGGCACUCCUGCAUGGGCACCUGUGAUGUUUAGGAGGGCUGACAUCUCGUGGACCAACGCUCAGCCAUGGGGAGAUGGGCACUGGUGGCGGGUACUCUUCCCAGAUCCCUACCCCUCUACCUGGUUGACCUCCCAACAUCAGCUACCUGCACACCACCCUUCUCCGAAGCCGGAUUUUUGGCAGCUCAGGCCUGCCGGCUCAACUGGCCCCGAGCACCCAAAUGCAGACGAGGCAUGUCUCCGUGAUUCUCCGAUUGGAAGUACCCGGCCACCGGUGGCGACCCCAGGAUCUCGAGGCAUCUACUCCUGCAAAGCCGGCUGCUCUGUGCCUGACGCCCGGGGCCGACAGUCAGGCUUCUUUCCGCAUCAGCUGCACCUUGAGGAGCGGAGCACGGAGCACCACACUACGGGAGACAUUCUUUAUUUUCCCUUAUUAUUUUCUUUAAGAUUCAGAAUGCAAGGACCGUGGUGUCACCACAGCCCUACUUUACAGGUGGGGAAACUGAGGUCAGAAAGUUGAAGUGGCUUGCCCGGAGUCCCCAGGCAGCGGGUGACAGAGCUGGAGUCAAGUCAAAGCCUCUGCCCCACCCAGGACAGCUGUCACGGCUCUGUGUUUGGGGGCCGAUAACCGUAUUCUUACAAAAUUAGCAGGCGGUUCGUCCGAGGGCCCCGGGGCUCUUUUCCAGGCUUUCCCAGCAUGUUGGGUAUUUCUGCCGAAAACUGGGGCAACGCACUUACAAGAUAAUGCAAUGACUUGAUUCUAUCUGCGUCCCUGUUAAAGUUAUUUUAAAAUGUCAGAAUGGUAAUGUGAC